rnacentral:lncRNA from 1 species
CAUGCUGAGGUGUGAGAUAGGCUUAGAAGAUUUUCAGCUAGGCUCUCAAGCUUGUAUUCCAUCUGAACUUGAAAUGCAGAUGCUUUUGGUGUGGAACCUAGCUUUUGUACUAAAACAUAUAUUUUACUUUUCAUGCUUUGCCCCCUAUACAUGUAUAGGAAAGAAUAAAAAGGAAGUCAAAACCCUCAAUUAUAACCUUUUAAACAUAAUAUAUCAAUAUAAGCUACCAUCCUCGUCCAUAAAAUUUGAUGAACUAAACUCAUGAU